ACUCAAAGGAAUUGACGGGGACCCGCACAAGCAGCGGAGCAUGUCGUUUAAUUCGACGAUACGCGAAAAACCUUACCAAGGCUUGACAUUUGAUGCAUACCAUAGAAAUAUGGGAAUUUAUAGUAAUAUAACAUCAGGACAGAUGAUGCAUGGUUGUCGUCAGCUCGUGUCGUGAGAUGUUGGGUUAAGUCCCGCAACGAGCGCAACCCUUAUCAAAAGUUGCUAACAUUAAGUUGAGAACUCUUUUGAGACUGCCGUGGAUAACACGGAGGAAGGUGGGGAUGACGUCAAAUCAUCAUGUCUCUUACGCCUUGGGCUACAGACGUGCUACAAUGGCCAUUACAAAGCGUUGCCAACCCGCAAGGGGGAGCUAAUCGCAAAAAAGUGGCCUCAGUUCGGAUUGUGGGCUGCAACCCGCCCACAUGAAGUUGGAGUUGCUAGUAAUCCCUGAUCAGCAUGCAGGGGUGAAUGCGUUCCCGGGUCUUGCACACACCGCCCGU
rnacentral:rRNA from 1 species